rnacentral:rRNA from 1 species
AAGUUUCAGAAACAGCUCUAAGUUUUGCCCAUCAAAUUCAUUAUUCUUUCAUCAAAUCCGUACCAUGAAAGGACCGGAAGGGGCGAGGAAGGAAGGCUCGCGGCGUCGAAGGGCCGCACAAUUUCGCCUCGCCUCGCCUCGCGGAGGCGGGCCGCAUUACGGGAUGUCCCAGGGCUUGGGCUCGGGGAGGGCGACGACCAUCCCCUGGUGCUCCUUGCCGAGCACGACCUGGCAGCCGAGGCGGGCGUGCUUGUUGAGCUCCCGGUUGCGGGAGGCGCGCGUGAGGACGUAGCGCUCCUCGUAGGAGGCCGCGGGCAUCUUCUCGAGCCACUCCUGCGCGAUGUGGACCUCGCACUCGGCGGAGCAGGCGUCGAUGUCGUCGAGGCGGUGGGAGGCCGCCUCGAUGAGCCCCGCGUUGACGAGCGCGCGGAGGAGGGUCUGACCGGCCAGGCCGACCACCUCGCGGCGCCCGCCGUCGAGGUCGAUGGCGAGGACGCGCACGAUGCGGUCGGCGACCUUGGCGGACGCGGCGGCCGGGGCGGGGGCCGCGGCGGCGGGGGAGACGGCGCAGAAGGGGCGGGCGAGCGCGGGGGCGAGGUGGAGCGGGAGCCGGCGCAGGGCGCGCGCCGCGAUCGCCAUGGUAGGGUUCGGGGUGGGAGAUCUGGGGUGGGGAGGAGGGGGGCGAU